UGAGCAAUCUGCCCUUCACAUCGGAAUAACCAUUGGAAACGAUGGCUAAUACCGAAUAUGACUUCGGAUCGCAUGAUCUGAAGUGGAAAGCUCCGGCGGUGAAGGAUGAGCUCGCGGCCUAUCAGCUUGUUGGUGAGGUAAUAGCUCACCAAGGCGAUGACGGGUAGCCGGCCUGAGAGGGUGACCGGCCACGCUGGGACUGAGACACGGCAGA
rnacentral:rRNA from 1 species